GCUGGGACCCCUGCGUGCCCUCCUGCCACAGCCCCCGGCCCGGCCACUGCAGGAUGCCCACCUGGGCCACACCUGCUGGCCAGGACCAAAGCCGAUCCUUGUCUUCAACUCCCUUUUCCUCGCCGACCUUGAACCACGCCUUUUCCUGCAACAACCCCAGCACCCUUCCCCGUGGAUCCCAGCCCAUGAGUCCUCGAACUACAAUGGGGCGGAGGAGGCAGCGAAGAAGGGAACACAAGAGCUCGUGUAAGCUGUGGUCUCUUCCCUCCUCCUUGGGCUGCUUGUAUGUCUGAGAGUGAGGCUUGCCAAAGGGUGUAUGUCAGGGCGAGGGGAGGUAUUUUGGGCAGAGCUCCAGGUGUAUGCGUGGGAAUGUUAAAUAACAUGAGUGGAACACCAGGCUGUCAUGGAUGGUUGGGCAGGUUGUGCACUGCUCAAGAGGACCACUGAGAGGUGCCAGUUACUUUGUAC
rnacentral:lncRNA from 10 species